AUUGAACGCUGGCGGCAGGCCUAACACAUGCAAGUCGAGCGGAGCGGCGGACGGGCGAGUGAUGCCUAGGAAUCUGACUGGUAGUGGGGGAUAAGGUCAGGAAACGGGCGCUGAUACCGAAUACUCUCAGCUGAGGCUUGGUCGGAUUGGCUAGUUGGUGGGGUAAAGGCCUACGAAGGCGACGAUCCGUAACUGGUCUGAGAGGAUGAUCAGUCACACGGGAACUGAGACACGGUCCAGACUCCUACGGGAGGCAGCAGUGGGGAAUAUUGGACAAUGGGCGAAAGCCUGAUCCAGCCAUGCCGCGUGUGUGAAGAAGGUCUUCGGAUUGUAAAGCACUUUCAGCUGGGAGGCGUUACCAGCAGAAGAAGCACCGGCUAACUACGUGCCAGCAGCCGCGGUAAUAC
rnacentral:rRNA from 1 species